UUUUUUUUUGGAAUAAAAUUAAAACACUAAGGUAAGAUUAUAUUAUCACUAGGUAGGAUUAGAACACAGCCUUCUCUGUUCACUAAGAGAACUUCGGUUCUCAAAUACAACAGAAGGCAAAUUCUCAAAUCCAAAAUACCAACCAAAAUUUCCAAAUUCUAACUAGGAAAAAAGCCAUCUAAAUAACAUAAUCAGACCACUCAGCUAUGUGCGAAGUGUGGU
rnacentral:misc_RNA from 1 species